GACGAACGCUGGCGGCGUGCCUAAUACAUGCAAGUUGAGCGCUGAAGGUUGGUACUUGUACCAACUGGAUGAGCAGCGAACGGGUGAGUAACGCGUGGGGAAUCUGCCUUUGAGCGGGGGACAACAUUUGGAAACGAAUGCUAAUACCGCAUAAAAACUUUAAACACAAGUUUUAAGUUUGAAAGAUGCAAUUGCAUCACUCAAAGAUGAUCCCGCGUUGUAUUAGCUAGUUGGUGAGGUAAAGGCUCACCAAGGCGAUGAUACAUAGCCGACCUGAGAGGGGGAUCGGCCACAUUGGGACUGAGACACGGCCCAAACUCCUACGGGAGGCAGCAGUAGGGAAUCUUCGGCAAUGGACGAAAGUCUGACCGAGUAACGCCGCGUGAGUGAAGAAGGGUGUCGGAUCGUAAAACUCUGUUGGUAGAGAAGAACGUUGGUGAGAGUGGAAAGCUCAUCAAGUGACGGUAACUACCCAGAAAGGGACGGCUAACUACGUG
rnacentral:rRNA from 1 species